AUAUAUUUAGAUCUGCACAUUUUUUUCAUAACUAACUACCCUGAUUUUCCUAAACCCUGACAAUUUCGCCCACAAACUCUAAAUUUCAAACCUUAAACUUUAACCGUGUUAUUUCCUCUCAACCAUAAACUUUUUCUUAAACCUUAACAAACCUUAUUAUUAUUUCCUAUUUUCGCUCAUAUUUAUGUUAUUCAUACACUGUAACUGCUUC
rnacentral:lncRNA from 1 species